CCCUUAGAUGUUCUGGGCCGCACGCGUGCUACACUGAUGCAUUCAACGAGUCUAAAACCUGGUCUGAUAGGGCUGGGUAAUCUUUUGAAAGUGCAUCGUGAUUGGGAUAGAUGAUUGCAAUUCUUCAUCUUCAACGAGGAAUGCCUAGUAAACGCAAGUCAUCAGCUUGCAUUGAUUACGUCCCUGCCCUUUGUACACACCGCCCGUCGCUCCUACCGACUGAAUGAUCCGAUGAAUACCAUGGAUUGAGAGUACGAAUAGGUUCGCUUAUUUCUGCUGCUCGAGAAGUGGAGUAAAUCUUAUCAUUUAGAGGAAGGAGAAGUCGUAACA
rnacentral:rRNA from 1 species